rnacentral:rRNA from 1 species
AUUGAACGCUGGCGGCAGGCCUAACACAUGCAAGUCGAACGAUCGGCGGACGGGUGAGAAAUGUAUGGGGACUCCCCGAUAUAGGGGGAUAACUACAGGAAAAAGUAGCUAAUACCGCAUACUAUCGGAUAACCCAUAUGGGAUUAGCUAGUAAGUGAGGUAAGGGCGCACCUAGGCGCCGAUCCCUAGCUGGUCUGAGAGGAUGAUCAGCCACACUGGGACUGAGACACGGCCCAGACUCCUACGGAGGCAGCAGUGGGGAAUAUUGCACAAUGGGCGCAAGCCUGAUGCAGCCAUGCCGCGUGUAUGAAGAAGGCCCUAGGGUUGUAAAGUACUUUCAGUUGGGAGGCGUUACCGACAGAAGAAGCACCGGCUAACUCCGUGCCAGCAGCCGCGGUAAUAC